CCGGCGGCGCACGAUGAGCCCGCGGCCUAUCAGCUUGUUGGUGAGGCAGCGGCUCACCAAGGGGACCACGCCCACCCCCCCUGCCACCCUCUCCGGACACCAUGUGACCCCCCCCAUGCCCCCCCUGCCACCCGACCACAAGGCGGCCCCUAUCCCCCCAGGUUUCCGCCGCACGUCCAGCCUCGCCACGGG
rnacentral:rRNA from 1 species